UACGUAGGGUGCAAGCGUUGUCCGGAAUUAUUGGGCGUAAAGAGCUCGUAGGCGGUUUGUUGCGUCGGCUGUGAAAUCCCGAGGCUCAACCUCGGGUCUGCAGUCGAUACGAGCAAACUAGAGUGUUGCAGGGGAGACUGGAAUUCCCGGUGUAGCGGUGAAAUGCGCAGAUAUCGGGAGGAACACCGGUGGCGAAGGCGGUUCUCUGGGCCUGUACUGACGCUGAGGAGCGAAAGCGUGGGGAGCGAACAGG
rnacentral:rRNA from 1 species